UGUUCACCUUUCAGACACCACUCCGGGGACACACAAGUUCUCUACCUUUGAGAGGAAACAAAUUAGGGUCCAUCUUAAGCGUUUCGUAAAAACAAAACAAACAAAAAACGCCUUUAAAUAGACUCCUAACCACCGACGGUGCCUCUGAGGCUUGCAUGGCUGCUCUGGAACUUAAGAGUGCGCCGCUGU
ensembl:misc_RNA